ensembl:lncRNA
GAUGUACUUUAGAAAGACAAGUAGGAAUUUGUUCAGAGCUAUACAGAAUUCGUUACUUCUGAUCCAAAAAAUAAAACUUUGUCUGACAACUGAAGUCAUCACCAAGCCUUAAAACUAAGGGCCGUGGUGUCUUAUGACCUUCUGCGCUCUAACAGGACAACACUUUAAUGGCCCUUUGAAAACACCAGGCACUAACCACUCAUCCGUCAAGCGUGUUUGGAAAAGAGCCAGUCCCACAUGAGCUGUUUUUCCCCAGUUUUAAAGCUUAUCCCUUCCAGCAACAAGCUCUGCUUCUUUAUUUUGACAGUUUUGAACGGAAAGAGUUCCAAAAUGUAGAAACACAUUUCCUCGCCUUGAGAAACAGAGCGUGAGUUUAUUUCAUCGUGUUUUUCUUUGAUGGUUUCUAGUCUUUAUGCGGAUGAUGUCCAGUCCUGAGUUGUCCUGGAGAGGACUUCGUCUGGCUCAGUUCUGAGCGGCCAGCGCACGGCCCUGCCCGGGACAGACGCAGUCAAGGUUUGCGGGUUGACCCUUUCCAGGGACGAUGAAGACGCAGGGGAGACGAGCUCCAGCAGCCUAGGACGGAUGACUACAAGAACUGUUGCCUCUUCUCACGACCAUCCCCCAACACUGACUGACCGCACAGUAGCCAGAACUGCCAAGCUUGGUGUUUCUCAGCAGCUGGAGCCUCAGUGGGCACAACCCUACGUGGCCAGGCCUCUGCAGGAUCGUUUCACACAGGCACAGGACGCCAGCAAGCCAGGGGCACAAACAAGUAGGAGAGAAGACAGACUAGAAGCUUGGAACCGUCAGCUCUAGAAAGAUGCUGUUUACAGCAAGUAUUAGGAGGUGGGCUGUGAACACGGAGAAGCUGCCAGGCGUCCCGUGACAGACAUACACAGUGCGAGCCGCAGACCCAAAGGAAGGAAGGAGGGAGCUGGUCCGAAUAGAGACCAAAAAUAUUGACGCUCAAGUGCGCACACCGAAAGAUAAAGAAGAGGGGGUUGCCAGGCAGGCUGGAUGGACAGACAACCACGAAACGGUCUCGUAUGGGGUGGGGGUUGGAGUACAACUGGAGCAGGAUGGGCGAGGGCCCACUGGAAGGUGGCUGCAGCGACAGGCAGGAGCCCGGCCACGGAGGGCUUGGACCACGCCCGCCUGCUCCAAUGUUACACAGAGGGAUGCCCAGAGGCUGGGCAGAGGGACUGGUCAGCUAUGUGUAAAGAAGCUUAAGGGACUCCUGGAGGCCCAGUGGUUAAGACUCUGCCUUCCAACUCGGGGGAUGUGGGUUCAAUCCCUGGUCAGGGAACUGAGAUCCCACAUGUCUUAGGGCAACUAAGCCUGAGUACUGCAACUACCGAGCCCACGCACCCUGGAGCCUGUGUGCCGCCUCUAGAGAGUCCGUGUGCUGCAACGAAAGGUUCCACGUGAGGCAAGGAAGAUACCACAAGCUGCAGCCAGGACCGUACUCAGCCAAACAGACAAAGAAACCCAAAAAGAAGCUUGGACCUCACAGACUUACAGAAGGAGCUCACGGUUGCCAGGUGGAAGGGUUGGGGGAAGGGAUAGUUAGGGAGUUUGGGAUGGACGUAUGCCCACUGCUGUAUUCAAAGUGGAUAACCAACAAAGGCCCACUGUAUAGUCAGGGAACGCCGCUCAAUGUUAUGUGGCAGCCUGGAUUGAAGGGGAGUUUGGGGCAGAAUGGGUACAUGUGUAUGUAAGACUGAGUCCCUCUGCUGUCCACCCAAAACUGUCACAACAUUGUUAACUGGCUAUACUACAACAUAAAAUAAAAAGUAUAAAAAAUAAAAAUAAAAAGAAGCU